GAGAGAGCAGGAGAGAGAAAGGCAGAAGAGAGGCAGGUGCUGCGAAUGGCCGGCAUCGCAAGAUUUUAUAAGGGAGAGGUGUAAAAUUCACCAGAUCCUCAAAAGGAGGCAAAAGCAAGUACCAUUGGAUAGGUUUCUUGUUAAAGUCGCACAAAAAGAAAAAAGAUUUCAGCGAGCCAACAGAUAGCAGAUAGCUCCUUGCCCUCAUGUCCCUCACGCCACCCAUGCUUCUUUUCAAAGGAGAGCUUUGGAUUACGAGCAACUUGCCGGAACAAAUUAUACUCACAAUCCAAGUCUCCCACAGGUGUUCAACUGGGUUGAGAUCUGGUGACUGUGAAGGCCACAGAAUAUGAUUCACCUCAUUUUAAUACUCAUCAAACCAUUCAGUGACACCCCUUGCCCUGUGGAUGGAGGUGCUGUCAUCCUGGAAGAGACCACUCCCACCAAGAUAGAAAUGUUUCAUCACAGGAUAAAGGUAUUCAUCACCACUUUGCUCAUUGCUCGUUGGCUGAAUGAUGAAAAUUUUCCACAACCAUAUGCACUUCCCAAAUGGAAUUACUCUGCCUCAGAAGAAGAAAGGGGUGAAGAAAAUGAAAGAUUUGCCUGGACAGACAAGAUGAGACAAGUUCUGUUGAUGAAUGACAAUGAAGCUGACUUGAUACAGUAUCUCAGAAAAGUUUUAAAUGAAAGACUUCGCUGAGCUCACUGAGAGGAAUGCAGUUCUUAUUGAAUCUGUCAAUGGUGCCCGGCAUCCACAGUAUUGUUGUUUCUCAACAUGACAUCAAUUUAUGAUGACUCUAAACAUAAUUGCACAGGGUAGAGCUGAAUCCUAUACUGUCUAACCCCCACCCCCCAAUAGCUAUUAAUGUUUGGUUGUGCAUCCAUCAAGUUCCUAUUUAUGAAGUUACAUUUGCUAAUUUACAUUGUCAAAGCACCAGUCUAUCAUAAUUGCCUCACUGUUUGUUUGAUCAUCGGUUCAUCCUAGUAUUGCUCUGUGAAGAGAAUAUAACAUAAUUGCUUGUCUAAUCACACCAGGUUCACAUUUAUUUUGCCAAAUCAUAUGACCUCAGUGAGACUGAAUUCCUUAAAAAGGACCACCAAUUUGUGCAUCAGAAUAUUUUAACUAAAUAUUGUGUAAAUGUUUUUAGUAUAACUGCCAUUGGAACUGAGUUAAUGUAUGAAGUACAAAGUAGUAAGAUAUGAAAUCCUAUUGUAGGUACUACAGUAAUUGUGCAUCAAAAGAGAGGCAAGCUGUAUCCAUGUUUUAAUGCGGAAAAUAUGAGAGUGUGAAAUCCACAGCUUCACAGACAUACCAGAAAGCCUUUGUUCAACUGGAUUUGCCUAGAAGGAAUGAACAAUCUAAUCAAAGCUUGUUCCCCCUAAAGAAUACUGUUAAUGAGUUACAGCAUUCCCGACAUUUUUAUUCAGUCUUGUGGGUAUAUAUUCUAAUAAUUAUUGAUGUCUAAUUAUCACCAAAAUGCUGUAAAAUGUUCCAAAGAUGGACAGCAUCAGUGUGUUGCAGGCAUAAAACAUAAUGCCACUAUCACUGAUGUAGAAUAUUUAGAAAGCUGAUAUUUAAUGAUGAAAACAUUUUGAGAUUUACAUUUUUCUGCUGAAAAUGAUCAGUGAUUGCAAGGACACAGUGGAUGUUUAACAGAUCAACAAUGACAGCAGUUCUGUGUCACCAAAUGCUAUCGUUGUUGCAGCAUGUUGCUCCUCUGACUGAACUGUUUGACACCCGCUGUCACUCCUCAGCAACCCACAUGCCAGGCCAGGGAAGUACACAACAGAUGGAAAUGGAAGUGAAAAUAAUUAUGCUAAACAAAUUGGUUUUUUGUAGUGGCAUUUCUCCAUUUCACAUUCCAGUAAAUGUUGCAUUGUCCAUUGUCAGUAUGACAGCCAAGAAUGCCUGGAUUGCUAUUCCUACUGGAAUCAAACCCACAAAGUGCUUUUUACCACUGUGACACAUUAACUGUACCACGUGGGACAAGUGGUCUGCAAUUCAAUUUUAUUGUUUGAUUUUUUUUUUAAAUUAAACUAUUAAGCCAUGAUAAUUAGACAUGGACUUUAGGAUCACUCUGUACAAUAGCCCUCCUCUUCAGUCUUGCAAGCCAGACUCUCUCCAUAUCCAAAAAUGUAUUCCAACAAGAGAACAUUUGGCACAAGUCAUAGUGUAUAUAAAAGAAAGUAAAAUUAACCUAGGGAAAUGAAGCAAAAUACUAACACACCCAAAUUAUAUAUAUAUAUACACACACACACACACACACACACACAUAUUAAGCUGCCUUUUAUUGUACCUUUAAAAUGUUGUCAUCACCACUGUGGCCAGAAAGAUUGAAUAUCAAGAUGCAAGAAGCAUAAGUCCCACACUGUAAUUUGCCUCCCAGUGCUGUAAUGCAUUAUAUCCAGUAACUUAUUAUGAUAUCAGUUACUGCCUUUGUUUUACAUGUAGACACGUUGAAGGAGG